AUUGAACGCUGGCGGCAGGCCUAACACAUGCAAGUCGAAUGGUAACAGGAAACAGCUUGCUGUUUCGCUGACGAGUGGCGGACGGGUGAGUAAUGUCUGGGAAACUGCCUGAUGGAGGGGGAUAACUACUGGAAACGGUAGCUAAUACCGCAUAACGUCGCAAGACCAAAGAGGGGGACCUUCGGGCCUCUUGCCAUCAGAUGUGCCCAGAUGGGAUUAGCUAGUAGGUGGGGUAACGGCUCACCUAGGCGACGAUCCCUAGCUGGUCUGAGAGGAUGACCAGCCACACUGGAACUGAGACACGGUCCAGACUCCUACGGGAGGCGGCAGUGGGGAAUAUUGCACAAUGGGCGCAAGCCUGAUGCAGCCAUGCCGCGUGUAUGAAGAAGGCCUUCGGGUUGUAAAGUACUUUCAGCGGGGAGGAAGGGAGUAAAGUUAAUACCUUUGCUCAUUGACGUUACCCGCAGAAGAAGCACCGGCUAACUCCGUG
rnacentral:rRNA from 1 species